GUUUUUUAAAUUACACAAAAUACCAUAUUAUCGAUUAUUAAGCUUUAAUUCCAUAACAGAGAAUAAAGUGAGGGAUUCUUACUCGAAUCGGUGUCUGAAAUACCGAACUUUAUACUGUCUCUACUAGCGGUCCCCAGAUUUUUUGAAUUUUUCUGCAGAGAUUAAAACACGCUUCACGUACCUAAAAAUACCCUAAAAAUCCAAAAUCGGUGUUAAAAAUCUUUUUUCGACCAAUUUCGGAGUUCCGGCACGGCGGCAUCGCCGUGCUCAAACGAUGGCACCGCUG
rnacentral:lncRNA from 1 species